UACGGAGGGGGCUAGCGUUGUUCGGAAUUACUGGGCGUAGAGCGCACGUAGGCGGUUUUGCAAGUCCGAGGUGAAAGCCCGGGGCUCAACCCCGGAAUUGCCUUUGAGACUGCAUCGCUAGAAUUGUGGAGAGGUAAGUGGAAUUCCGAGUGUAGAGGUGAAAUUCGUAGAUAUUCGGAAGAACACCAGUGGCGAAGGCGACUUACUGGACACAUAUUGACGCUGAGGUGCGAAAGCGUGGGGAGCAAACAGG
rnacentral:rRNA from 1 species